UCCUUUUUGUUGCGGGCGGCAGUUGACAACGAUGGCGGAAGUGAUCCACUGGGCCAACAGUACCUUUGUGGAGAGAGGCAUCAGCUCAACUCCAAGGCCACCAUGAGGAAGUCUUGGAAAAGUUUGUGCAAGAAAACUCUUUAAUUUUGCACUUUCUCUUCUGUGAUGCUUGAAAAAAGUGGGGGUUAAAGGAUGCCUUCUACAGCAUUAGAAACUGGCAUCUGCCAGGCACUGCUGACAUAGCCAUGCACCCAUGCCCACUCUUGUGAUUAGUCAUCAUGCAACUGUCGAAUGGGAAUGAUAUAUACUUGACUUUUUUUUUUUUUUACAUCAUCUAUGAUCUCAGGUUUGAAUUUGCAGUUGUUGCUGGCAAGUUUACUGAAUUUCUUUGACAUGGUACACUUUCUGAUGCCUUGCCAGUGCACACUUCACUUGAGCAGUCAGCACUUAUGGUGGAGUGCCCAAUGGCUUGUCAUGUACAUCAUAGCAUAGUGUUGAGAUGAUGGUCCCCCCCCCACCCCUAUAUUCAAGUUGAGCAUGAAGUGGAGGACAUCAUUUUGACCCUGUAUGGAAGAUACCACUUAUGGAUGUUGUCUUGGAUUAAUGACCAGUAGAUUUCAACCAGCAAAGUAUUGUAUUUUCAGUGAUACCCAACAGCUAGAUUAAGUACCUUCCAAUUAUGUGGUGCUGAAACAUUAUUUUUUGAUAGGAAUUUAUUGGGAAACACUUCUCGGCACACAGACAUGCAGUGACUUCCAUGUGCUCUUUCAUCACAAAAAUAUUUUCAGCAAAUCUUACCAGUAGUUGUUACACAAUUACCUCCAUCCACACUAUUCUUUGAUUUAUUGUGAAUUUAAUAAUUGUGUUUUCACAGUGGGAUAAAGUAAAAAAAAUUAAAAAUCUAAAAAAAAAGUAUCACACAGUUUGUUGGAAUAGUUAUGUCCCCAUCAAAUGUACAUAAUCACUUAAAAACUGUACCAAAUUAAUCACUAAUUACUGACCUGACUAUUGCAGACCAGAAAUUAAGAAUUGCCCAUUAAAAAACAGGAGGAUAAAUAGAUUAAAUUACGAUCUUCAAUGUACCAGGGGAGCUUUAUGUAAACACAUUAAUCUUAUUGGUUUUGGUACAGCCUGUUCCGUUUUACACAUUUUGGGUCAGCUUUAUGAUAUACUGUGAUGUGAUAAUACAAGUUGUCACCAAGCUUAGUACAGCAUAGGAUGGAGGUGUUGCAGAAGGAGGUACAAAAUAUAGAGGAUGUUGUCAAUUUCUUAAUUGCUAAGAUGGCUUAGAGCACCAGUGUGUUUUAGUGUGUGUUUAUAUGUGUGUGAGAGAGAGAGAGAGAGAGGGGGGGAUGAGAAAGAAAGAAAAAGAGAGAAAAGAGAGAGAGAGAGAGAGAGGCGGGGGUGUGUGUGUGUGUGUGUGUGUGUGUGUGUGUGUGUGUGUGUGUGUGUGUGUGUGUGUGUGUGUGUGUGUGUGUGUGUGUUUUGACAACACGUGGCUGGCUGAUGUCUCCACCACCACCUGUCCACUUCCCCCCUCCCCCUCCCCCUAUUGUCACCUCUCCACCCACUCCCUCAUUAAGUUAUCCCUGGUGACCCUGCUGCCACCCCAUCAUGUGAGGAGGGUGGGAUCUAUCUCGGCCGGGGUCACAGGGAUGUAGGUGGCACGACGCAGGCACCGGUUGAUUACCUCAUUAAGGGAGUCACGUCCUCCAGCCUCCAGAGCACCCAGCACCAUCUGCGGGAAAGCAUUGCACAGCUUGCUGAUUGACUUACUGGUUGAAACUGGCAUGAAAACUGCAAUGAGUUUAAUGACUUACUGGUUGAAACUGGCAUAAAAACUGCAAUGAGUUUAAUGAGAGUACAAGACCUAGUUGAAAUUAGUACCACAAGUUACUACAAAGAGGAUAACAUCACGAACUGUCUACACAAAGGUUACUGCAUUGACAGAAUAACUACAUGAUCUGCCUGCAUGCAAACAUGAUCAGCACCUGAGAGCCAUGGUCGCCUUCCUUCAGCUGCAGCAUCGCUAUCAGUGCCAUUUCUGCAGAUGACCUCACAACCUGAUUCUUCUCCUUGGUGCCAUUCACCAACAUGGGAAUCAGUGGCUUUGCAAUUUCCAUAGGCAACAAGGCACCUCCAGAACCUGCCAGAUUCUCUGCUGUAUACUGAUUUACCUAGUGGGAGUGUCAUCAGCUGCCUUGACAGCAUUGUGGAGUUCAGUGAAGAGUGGGUCAGGCUUGGUGUGGAUGGUGAUGAGGUGGGCAAGGGCAGCCCCUGCACGCAGCCGCACACCUCGGUGAGCAUCAUGCACUGCCUUGACAAAUGUUGUCUGCAGUUGUGGCAGGAAGGGCUUCAGCAUAACUCCAGUCUGUGGGAGAGAACAAUGGCAAACCUAUCUCCAAGGAUCCUGAUGAGGGGCCCUGUCACAUGUACCACUGAUGGCUUGAGUGCAUCUGAACUAGUAAGGCGGAUCACCUCUGACAACCCAUUAGCCGCUGCUUCCUUCAACUCUGGCUCCCCAUUAAGAACUGCUUCUCGGAAGAUGGGCAGAAUGGGCUGGAUGCCUGUUUGACAAAUAAGACAUGACAUCAAAUACAAUACCUAUCCAUAUAUCACAUCCUGUUAUACGUAUAAAUGUGUGUCACUUCCUAGGUGUUUACAAUCAGUCUUUAGUUUUAAGGAAUGUUUCCUUCACUCACCUUUAGGAAGACAAAAACCAGGCAUUAGUUCUUCUCCCUUGAGGUCUGACGCAGCAAAUUUGACAGCUUGUCGCACAUCUGCCACUAGAGAGCGCUGGUCUGCUGCAUCAAGACUCUGUUCAACAAUAUGUUGCAUCAAUAAACCAUGAAUUCCUGCUAUUAUCUAAUUAUUAAAUAUAAAACAAAAAAGAUAUGUACAUUUUAACAUUUCUCAAUAGUGGCUACACUUCAGGUCCUCACUUGUUUCUUUCCAUAUACUGCACAUUCUGUUCUCAUGCACAAUGACUUAACCAUAGACAAUAAAUAAAACACUAUAACCAUUCCAACACACUCUAGUUCCCCUAAACGAGUAUGAAGCAGGUGGAAUUAGUGUCAGUAAGCUGGAACUUCGUGAACAGGGUUAAAUUGAGAUUAUGAUGGAAGAGGCAGAAUAAAUGUGUGAUUUUCAUGCCCUAAAUACAUACAUCAGUGAUCA